rnacentral:lncRNA from 1 species
GCUAUUUAGAAUGUGAAAAAUGUUUCGAAGCUGCCAAUGCAUUCCUUAAAACAUCUGAACACUUACGAGAAUGUUAUCAAAUUUCCUUACUCAAUCGGAAGUUUUCUACCAAUGUCAUGGGCUAUUCACUAUACAAGUGUCUAGAUCAAUUUUGUGCUAUACAUCGAUUAGUUCAGGAUCGAAUAGAAACUAUGCGAGUCAAUCAUAUCUCCAGCCGAGAAUUGGUCGAUCAGGUGCUUAUCUAAUAGAUGUUGAGUGUAAAGGUCACAGCACAGUCAUGUUCAACAUAACAGUUCCAGUGCAGGACGACAUAAAUAAAACCAUCAAUGAAACGGUUUCAAAUACACAAAAAAGCCCACCGCCCAUACCGUUUAAUGAAACCGAUAGUAUGAGUUACUCUGUUUCUAUGGAAGGACCACCCUCCACACCUACCUGGUCUGUAACAAACACAACGUCAACACCUGGAAAACAGUCUAUGCCACCUUCAUCCCCUAUUGUACAUUGUCUUUCACCAUCAGUACCUGAAACAACAAAUUUAGAAAGUUUACCUGGUAAUUGCAAGCUUCCAGAAGCCAAGAAACCAAGAGCCAAGAGAAAACAGGUGACAGGAGAGAAUACUGAGGAUGAAAACUCUUCAGGGAAUAAAACCGGUUCGAUCAGUGAUUCAAGUGCCAGAAUACCUGAAAUCAGGAUUGAUGGAAGGAAUCUCAAUCAAAAGCAAAAUGAGAAAGAAAAUUCAGGAGAAUUAGAAUCUGUCAUUCAAUCAAUAGUCCAUCAAGCUCAGAGUGAUCCUCUCUUUCAAAACUUUAUGGAUGAGUUCUUUCACGGUAAUUAUGUUUCUCUUUUGCCAUAAUUUUUUUUAGUUAAUACAAGCCGGCCCUGGUCUCGCUUCGCGAAACCCUGAGUAUCGCGAGUUAACCUUUAACUUAGAAACUGAUAAUCUCUGCAACCUCCAUUGAUUUGGGUUUUUGGAUUGUAAGUUUGUUAUGUAUAGGGGCGUUAUCGUCACAUGGGCGAUCAUACCACUAUUCAACCAAAUGGGAGAUGUUAGAGCUAAUGUUGUCUACACUAAUAAUUGAAGGAAAACUGACGUGACGUGAAAGUUUUCACUUUCAUUAAGAAGAACUUAUCUCUGUGAGUGUGCGUGCCAUUUGAAGAUACCGCUAUUCAACCACGUGGAAACUCGGGUUGCCUACCUUGAAAUUAAGGCGAACUAAAAUAUUGUUAAUAUAAUAUUAACGUUGUAUGGUAAAAUAAUAUUUUUUUAAGUGACAGAGUUGCCAGGUAUUUUAUGAAGAUGAAGAUAUUAAAAUUAUUUCCCCUUUCUUAUUUUUAAACUCACAAACUAUUUUAAAACAUUUCUCCACAGCGUUAUUAAGUUUUAAGUUUAGUUAUUUAGUUAACGUUUUAUCAGGUUUAUUAUGUCUACAAAAUUUAAUACCGAUGUACAGAGUUUUACCAAAUUUACUCAGGAUCAGUAACCACCCCCUCCUCCCACGUGCCGCAGUGAAUCAAGAUUUCCAUACUUCCGGAAACAACAGUGAUAGAAGAACAGGCUUGUUUUAAAGAGUAUUCCAUAAAACCCUGAAAAAAUGGUAGUAGGGGAGCAAGACAUGCCAUAAAAAAAACAAUAAAAUCGAUAGAAAAAUGAGUUGAGGAGAGAGGGUGAUGAAGCUAGAAAAUGAGCUUGGGGGGGGGGGGUGUAGAUUAAAUGCUGGCAAAAAAAUUAGAACUAACCUGGCGAUGACUUAUUUAAAAAAAAAGAGAGAGAAAAAUUGAAAAAAAAAUUUGAAUUAAAAUAUCAGCUGAUGGCAAACGAAGGUUACCAGGGAAACCAAGGAAUGGAACUUUCAUAAAAACAGUCGAGUG